GAUGAACGCUGGCGGCGUGCCUAAUACAUGCAAGUCGAGCGAACGGACGAGGAGCUUGCUCCUCUGACGUUAGCGGCGGACGGGUGAGUAACACGUGGAUAACCUACCUAUAAGACUGGGAUAACUUCGGGAAACCGGAGCUAAUACCGGAUAAUAUUUUGAACCGCAUGGUUCAAAAGUGAAAGACGGUCUUGCUGUCACUUAUAGAUGGAUCCGCGCUGCAUUAGCUAGUUGGUAAGGUAACGGCUUACCAAGGCAACGAUGCAUAGCCGACCUGAGAGGGUGAUCGGCCACACUGGAACUGAGACACGGUCCAGACUCCUACGGGAGGCAGCAGUAGGGAAUCUUCCGCAAUGGGCGAAAGCCUGACGGAGCAACGCCGCGUGAGUGAUGAAGGUCUUCGGAUCGUAAAACUCUGUUAUUAGGGAAGAACAAAUGUGUAAGUAACUGUGCACAUCUUGACGGUACCUAAUCAGAAAGCCACGGCUAACUACGUG
rnacentral:rRNA from 1 species